rnacentral:rRNA from 1 species
GAUGAACGCUGGCGGCGUGCUUAACACAUGCAAGUCGAACGAAGCACUUAUGAUAGAUUCUUCGGAUGAUGGAUUAAGUGACUGAGUGGCGGACGGGUGAGUAACGCGUGGGUAACCUGCCUCAUACAGGGGGAUAACAGUUAGAAAUGACUGCUAAUACCGCAUAAGCGCACAGGACCGCAUGGUCUGGUGUGAAAAAACUCCGGUGGUAUGAGAUGGACCCGCGUCUGAUUAGCUAGUUGGUGGGGUAACGGCCUACCAAGGCGACGAUCAGUAGCCGGCCUGAGAGGGUGAACGGCCACAUUGGGGACUGAGACACGGCCCAAAAUUCCUACGGGAGGCAGCAGUGGGGAAUAUUGCACAAAUGGGGGAAACCCUGAUGCAGCGA